ACCCAUUUAAGAGCUGACUGCCAGGAGGGAAGGAUCUCUUCUGGAGAUCUGCUCUGCUGCCAUUUUGUAAGUGAGCCCAGGAUAUGGAUGCAACUAUCACCUUUAUCACCUAGACCCAUUUAAGAGCUGACUGCCAGUGGGAAAAGAUCUCUUCUGGAGAUCCCUCCUUUGGAAUUUUACAAUGAGCCUAGGACACAGUAGGUAUAUGGGAACUGUUGGGUCAUGGCCUGAACCACUGAUUGAUCACCUGAGGCAAGAACUGAGCCAGCCAUGGGAGCACAGGUGAAGGCAAUUCAGCUGUGCAACUGGAAGGGGUGGAGCCUGGCUGCACCUCUCCUAGACCUGU